rnacentral:lncRNA from 1 species
GUGGAUGUAGGUGCGCCACGUAAGCGAGACAGGCUCGAGCCCGUCUGAACACCACUCUUAAGAUUAUUGUAAUGUACCAAAAACAGGAAUUGAAACGAGAUUUCUAUUAUUGCCGCAUUAUUGUUGAAAUGUCACACGUCAUUUACUUCUGGUUAUUUAUGCUGUCUAUAAUAUUCAUAUUUUUUUCUUAUUAAUAUCUGAUUUUUAAGAAAAAAAAAUGAGCUGGGUCUAACAAGUAGUAUCAGAACAAAGUUAGACAUGUCGUCUAGCAGCCUGUCGUCCAGCGUACCGAGUGUCCAAUUGAUGUGGUUCAGGAGUGUGUUGAAAUACUCUAUAUCACCCAAUUUUGACCCCUCUAUAUUGUCUAUAAAGCUCAUAUUCCCUCAUAUUAAUAUCUGAGUUUUAAGGAGAAAUAUGGGUUGGGCUUAAUAAGUGGUAUCAGAGUAAAGUUGUGUCUGUCAUCAAGCGUGCUGAAUGUCCGAUUGCUGUGGUCCGGUGGGUGUGUUGAAAUGUCUCACAUCACCCAGAUCUGUUUUAUCUGUGUUGUUUAUAAGAAUUAUGUUCUCUUUUCUUAAUACUUGAGUUUUAACGAGGAAGAUGGAUUAGACCUAAUAAGUGGUAUCAAAUUAAGGUUGAACCUGUUAUCCAGUGUGCCGAGUGUCUAGAUAUUGUGGUCCAGAAAUGUGAGUUGAAAUGUCCCACAUUGCUCAAUUCUGGCCCUCUUUGUUGCCUAUGAAGCUCAUAUACACCUCUUCUUAUUACCUAAUUUUAAGGAAGAAAAUGAGUUGAGCCUAACUAGUGGUAUCAGAGUAAGAUUGACCCUAUCAUCCAGCGUGCCGAGUGUCCGACUAUUAUGGGUUGGGCCUAUCGUCAAUCGUGCUGAGUGUUCGGCUGCUGUGGUCUGGAAGGUGUUGAAAUGUUCCACAUCGUCCAAUUUUGGCAUCUCUAUGCUGUCUAUAAGGCUUAUGUUUCCUUCUCUUUUAGCACCUGAUUUUUAAAGAGUUGAAUAGGCUGGGUUUGAAAAGUGAUAUCAGAACAAGGUAGGACAUGUCGUCAAUCGUUAUGUUUCUCUCUCGUUAUGUUUCUCUCUCCUUAAUACUUGUAUUUUAAAGAGAAAGAUGGCACGAGUCUAACAAAAUUAUUCAUAUUAAAUUCUAUUACCGCCGAAUCCUUAGCCUAAUCAAGUUAUUUGCUGGCAAGAUUAGACCGUCGGAUAUAAAGUAGUGCUGAUUAUUUUUUUAUAAGUUUGAUUUAUGAUUAAUUGCACCACAAUAAAAUUAUUUAUUAUUUCCGUGGACAAUUUUUAGAUUGAAAUUUUUAUUUUUUUCUAAAAGCUAAAUUAAUCCAAAAUUAUUUCUACGGCUCCGUUGGUAGCUAAAAGCCAAACUUUUUUAAAGGGGGGUUUGCUACUAAGAAGGAACAAGAUUUUUUGAUUUUUUUGCUUUUGUAGCUUUACUUUAACUAACUUAAGCCAAAAAAGCAAAAGCAAAAAAGCAAAAAGCCAACUCUGAUUGGCUUUUUUGUAUUUAGCCAAAAACUAGAAAAAGCCUAAAAAAGCUGGUGCCAAACCAUGCGUACUUCCUACAUGAAAGACAAAUUAAAAAAGUAAUUUUUUUUAGUAAAAAAUAAAAAAUGACUAAAAGAUAAAAAUUGUUAAGAUUUUGGUGCAUUUUUUUUUACGAACAAGACCCUAUUGAGAAAAUAAUAAUUAAUUUGUGUUUCACGUUCCAAGAAAGAGGUAUACAUGUAAGAAAUAAGAAAAUUUUAAAUUUUUUUAUGUGUUUGCUUAGCAUGAAAAUGGCAGAAGAGUGCAAUAAAGUUAAUUUUAUUGACAACCCAUAUUAACAUACUAACAUUACUUUCACUUUCUUAUAAAAAAAACACAGUUUUUUUUUCCUAGUAAAAAGCAACUAAAUAUUUUAUAACUUUCUAUUUUAUCCAUUAUUUUUCUUUUUUCCAAUUUAAUUUGCAUAGCAUUGUAAGGGUAAAUGGAUUAACUAUAAACAUUUCUUACAACCUUUUCCAUAAAAAUCAUUUUCACCAAAUGCAUUCACAAAAAUAAUUUUUUCUUACACUUUCUUUUCUUUUAGCUUAUAUUAUUUAACUUUCACUCUAACCAAAUCAAUGCGUACGUUGACUCACAACCCAAAGCUAGCUCGUGUUAGUUUUGAUUGGUCCUUUGCGAGGCUAAGAAAACCUUGUACAAAUAGAUUUUGAUCCUCUCCGUUACAUCCAAUAAAAUAAAGAGGUCUGUUACAUUUAAACUACGCCGUUUUAUAUAAUGAAUUGAGAUAACUUUUCGAUAGUUUUUUUUUAAAAAAUAAUUUUAAUUUUUGAUUUUUUAUAGUCAAACGCAACCUGAAAAAGUAAGAAACUAGAUGCCCAAAAAAUAAAAAAAUACACUAGAAACGAAAAUAAUACAAAAAAUAAAUUAUUUAGCAACAUUGUUGCUUUUUUGUAUGAAAAAUACUAUAAAUAUACUUGCCAAAAAAUAAUAUUU